rnacentral:rRNA from 1 species
UACGUAUGGUGCAAGCGUUAUCCGGAUUUACUGGGUGUAAAGGGAGCGCAGGCGGCACGGCAAGCCUGAUGUGAAAGCCCGCGGCCCAACCGCGGGACUGCAUUGGGAACUACCGGGCUGGAGUGCCGGAGAGGUAGGCGGAAUUCCUAGUGUAGCGGUGAAAUGCGUAGAUAUUAGGAGGAACACCAGUGGCGAAGGCGGCCUACUGGACGGUGACUGACGCUGAGGCACGAAAGCGUGGGGAGCGAACAGG